UACGUAGGUGGCAAGCGUUACUCGGAAUCACUAGGCGUAAAGCGCAGGUAGGCGGUUCGGUAAGUCUCUUGUGAAAGCUCCCGGCUCAACUGGGAGAGGUCAAGGGAAACUGCCGGGCUAGAGUGUGGCAGAGGAAGCUGGAAUUCCCGGUGUAGCGGUGAAAUGCGUAGAGAUCGGGAGGAAUACCUAUGGCGAAAGCAGGCUUCUGGGCCGUCACUGACACUGAUCUGCGAAAGCUAGGGGAGCAAACAGG
rnacentral:rRNA from 1 species